GCACCUAAUCAUAGCUCAGUUGGCUAGAGCGCAGUGCUGAUAAUGCCAAGGUUGCAGGUUCGAUCCUGGUACGGGACAGCUGCA